UACGUAGGGUGCAAGCGUUGUCCGGAAUUAUUGGGCGUAAAGGGCACGCAGGCGGUGCGGCGCGUUUCGCGUGACAGCGGAGGGCUUAACUCUCCGAGGAUGCGAAAGACGGCGGCACUUGAGGGCCAGAGAGGGACACGGAAUUCCGGGUGGAGUGGUGAAAUGCGUAGAGAUCCGGAGGAACACCGAAGGCGAAGGCAGUGUCCUGGCUGGUGACUGACGCUGAGGUGCGAAAGCUAGGGGAGCGAACGGG
rnacentral:rRNA from 1 species